rfam:Thauera sp. 27 Cont10, whole genome shotgun sequence.
GCCGGUGUAGCUCAGUUGGUAGAGCAGCGCAUUCGUAAUGCGAAGGUCGGGGGUUCGACUCCUCUCACCGGCA